rnacentral:rRNA from 1 species
UACGUAGGGUGCAAGCGUUAAUCGGAAUUACUGGGCGUAAAGCGUGCGCAGGCGGUGAUGUAAGACAGGUGUGAAAUCCCCGGGCUUAACCUGGGAACUGCAUUUGUGACUGCAUUGGCUGGAGUGCGGCAGAGGGGGAUGGAAUUCCGCGUGUAGCAGGUGAAAUGCGUAGAUAUCGGGGAAGAACACCCGUGGCGAAGGCGGCUCUCUGGGACGGUACUGACGCUGAGACGCGAAAGCGUGGGGAGCGAACAGGG